rnacentral:rRNA from 1 species
UACGGAGGGUGCAAGCGUUAUCCGGAUUCACUGGGUUUAAAGGGUGCGUAGGUGGGUCUGUAAGUCAGUGGUGAAAUCCCCGAGCUUAACUUGGGAACUGCCGUUGAUACUAUAGAUCUUGAAUAUCGUGGAGGUAAGCGGAAUAUGUCAUGUAGCGGUGAAAUGCUUAGAUAUGACAUAGAACACCAAUUGCGAAGGCAGCUUACUACACGAUCAUUGACACUGAGGCACGAAAGCGUGGGGAGCAACCAGG